AGUCUGGGAGGCUGGCGCAAACGCAGCGGGUGGCUGGGGUAGGGGCUCAUUGGGAGCCCACGGAGCGCGGCGGCGGCUCGGGGGCCGAGUUCCCUACAACAAGGAUGGCGGUGACGGGCGCAGGGAGCGGGGCCCGGCUCUCCUUGCCUCGAGGCUCCUCUGAUUCCACUCGCGUGGCUGCGCGGCCCUGGCAGCGGCCUUCGUCCCGGGGGUGGGAGCUACACAGGGUUCCGCCCCGUCCUGGCGAGGACGCCUGAGGGGGCUCUGUGGUAAGGCUCUGUCGGGCAGGCCGGGCUUCCGGGAGGACCUGGUCUGGAUCGGUCACCGCUGGGUGCCUGAGCUCCGCAUGGAGCCUGCAGCCUUUGUUUAACUUAUAAAGAAAUGGGGGCUCCGAGCAGUCAAGAAGAACAUGCCCCAAGUUAUUCGUCAGUGAGGCGGAAAUUGUGGUGUACUUGUUCCAGACCAACUAUGAAGAUAGGAUGCCCAUCCAGAAGAACGGGAAGCAUUUUCUUCCUCACCUUUGGAAAGUAAAACAAAAAAAAAAAGAAAAAUAAAAGAAAAAAGAGAGUAUUAAAAUUUCUCAAUGUAAAAUCUAUAUUUUAGAAUCACUCUACAAUAUAAGCAAAUAAUGUGUUUUUUACUGAUUACAUGCCUUUUUUUUGGGGGGGGGGGUUCUUUUUUUUUGAGACAGGGUCUUGCUCUGUCACCCAGGCUGGAGUGCAGUGGCGUGAUGAGACUUCAAUGCAGCCUUGAUCUCCCAGGCUCAAGUGAUUCUCCCACCUCAGCCUCCCAAGCAACUGGGACCACAAGGUGUGUGCCACCAUGCCUGGGUAAUUUUUUGUUUUUUUUGUGGAGAUGCGGGUCUCACUGUUUUCCAGGCUGGUCUCAAAUUCCUGGGCUCAAGUGAUCCUCCCACUUCAGCCUCACAUUGUUGGGAUUACAGUCACGAGCCACUGUACCCAUCCAUAUGUCAUUCUUUAGACACACUACUUACUAAAUUUCUCUUUUUAAAGGAUAUACUGAAUUUCCGGUUGAGCCAACUUAACAGCUAAUUUUCUAUUUUAGCUUUAAAACAUUGAUAAGCAACAUGAAGCAAUCUAGAACUUAACCUUUAAAUGGCUUUAUUAAAGAAAUCCAGCUAUGAAAAUCAUGCAGAAAUGAUUAUUUACAAACAAUCCUACCAGCACAUAAGAAAUUCUUCUUCUAUUCUGAAAUACCAUCUUCUCACAAUAUACUUUGAUGUUAUGAAUCAAUGUCUGUUCUCGAACAUUAUUUGUCUUUCUCCAUUAAACAAUACCAAAAUAAAAUUUCCAGCACAACUAAGUAUUGUUGACGAUAAGAGGAUUUAAAAAAAAAUUCUUUUAAAACAGAAGCUUAUAUACAACUUAGAAUCUAAAACCAAUAGAUUUAUGGUAAACCUUAAAACUGAACCAAAACAAACAAAAACCAAAGUUUUAAUCAUUUAAAAAUCAUGUUUAUUGAGGUACAACUUACUUAUAGUAAAACCUGCCCUUUUCAGCAUAUAGCACUGAGUCUUGACAAAUGCACAGUUACGUACCACCACCGACCAAGGCCUGGCACAUUUUCACCUCCUCAAAGUUCUCCCUGGCUGCUUCUCCCACUCCUUGGCAACCGCUAACCUGUUUUCUGUCCUUAUAGUUCUGCUUUUUUCAGAGUGUCAUAUAAGUAGAAUCACACUGUACAUAGUAUUUUGAGUCUGACCUCUGUCAACUGGCAUAAGGCAUUUGAGAAUUAUCCAUGUUGCUGUACUGGCAGUGCAUUCUUUUUUAUUGCUGAGCAGUAUUCAAUUGCAUGGCUGUACCAGUUUAUUCAUUUGCCAGUUGAAGGAUAACUGAGAUCUUCCUCGUUUUUAGCAAUUUUAAAGAAAGUUUCUAUGAAUAAUUGUGUACAGGUUUUUAAUUAAAUGUUUUGGAGAUAUAAUUCAUAUACCACAUAAUUCACCUUUUUAAAGUGCAUAAGUCACUGGUUUUUAAUAUAUUCACAAGGUUUGUGCAUAGGUUUUUGUGUGAAUACUGGUUUUCAUUCCUCUUGGAUAAAGAUUUAAUUUGGUAUUAUCCUUCCAGACACCUUUCUGUGUUUUCAUACGUAUAUAUGUAUGUCAGUUUGACCUUAGGCAGAGUAGCAUUUUCAAAAUUUUACAUGGGGAAAUUUUCUAGAGUUAAAGCCAUUUUAUUUUUCUGUUCUGUCUGGUUUUAUCUGCGUGUUAUUUACAAUCUGCUGCGUAACAAAUUACAAAGUUAGUACCUUAACACAUAUUUAUUUCACAGUUUCUGUGGGUCAGGAGAUCAGAAAUGGUUCUAUUUCAAGGACUCUCACAGGGCUGCAAUCAAGAUGUUGGCAUGGCUGGGGUCUCAUCUGAAGGCUGGACUGGAGAAGAAUCUACUUCCAAACUUAUGUGGUAGUUGGAAGAAUUUAGUUCCUCAAGGCCGCUAAACUGAUGGCCUGUGUUCCUUGCCUAUGGGAUGGUAGCUUGCUUCAACAAAGUGUGCAAGCAGAGAAGACAGAGAGUCCGCUAGCAAGAUAGAAGCCACAAUCUCUUGUAAUCUAUCAUUUUUGCUGUAUUCUACUGGUUAAAAAUAACUCAUUAGGUUAGCCUACUGGCUCUCAAGGGGAAGAGAUUAUACAAAGGCAUGAAUUUCUGGAGGAGGGAAUGAGGGCAAAGAAUUCUGAGAAGUCUGUCUUCCACAAUCUGAAGAACUUCUAGAAAGUAGGAGGAAGCGAUAUUGCUUAGGGAUGGACAACUUGGCACUGGUUAUGUAUUUCAAGUGAGGUAACCUUGUUCCCAAGAAUAAAGAGAACCAGACGACUGUAAACAUUUCCCUAAACUGAAAUGCAGACUGUUGUAUGUUCCCCUGAAAUGAAUGGUGUAAGCUGAAUAUAAGAUUUUUGACAAAAAUUUUGCUGUGUUCUCAGAUCUGGCAGGCCCCUGCCCUUGUGCAAACAAUGUUCCUGGCAGCUAUUCAUCUCCUUAGGUAAAUAAGAAUUGGAGAAAAGCUGUGCUAAGAUAGGAUGCAUUUGCUCUUGCCUUGGAAGGUUGUUUUCUGAUAAGGUUCUAUAUCCUCAGCAAAUCAAAUCAGGCACUUACAGUGUGAGUAUGCAUUCUCUGCCUGCCAGUCUGGAGAUGAUCAAAAAGCCUAUAACAGGCUUGGCCUAUUUUCCUAUUGGGUUGCUGGGCUUUUUUUUCGUCUUUAUUUACUUGUAGAGAGUUUUAGACCUCUGUGUAUGUAUGGUGUACAAGUGACAAUAUUCAGAUCUGUAAACUGUAACACAGUCUGGGAGCAAAGAAGAUAUAGAAAAAUGACUUUUACUUCCUGCUUGAGUAGUAAAAUUGAGAUUCAAAUUUUGCAUAUAGAAGUACUAUAUGGCUAACUUAUUUGGGGAGCAAAACUGACUUACCAUAAGUCUACCUGAAAUAGAAAUGAAACACUCAAUUUGUGAAAUAUGCUGAGUUUUAAUGUGUGUGGGGGCAAGGUGAAUUAACAUUUGUGAUGCAAGGAGAGGAGCAAUCUAUACUUACCAGUGUCUAUUUGACAUUGUUUGGGGACUACUGUUACACUCUAAGUCACUUUACCUUAUAACGCAGAGUUGUAACACGCUACUCUGAGCAGCUCAUGACAUCUGCUUGAAAUUUAAGUUGGGCCCCUAAUAUGUGUUAAUUAUAAGGACUUUGAUGUUGCUUUUCCGAGUUGGGUAACCUACUUUACCCCCUAAGCUAAUGUUUCCCAAAUACACCCAAACCCACAGAAAGGAAAACUAUUCCUCAUUAACUUACAGCCAACAUCAUAAACAUUUUAUAUCUAGAGCUGAUGAUACAGUCAGGUAUUUACCAACACUCAUGUAUAUAUGUAGAGUUUCAAGAAAUAAUUGCUUACCCUUACUAGAUGCAACAUAUUCUAAUGUUUGACAUAUUAUUUUUAUUUCUUAAUUUUUUUUUAAAGAUGGGGUUUUACUCUGUUGUCCAGGCUGAAAUGCAGUGGCAUGACCAGGAUUUCGACCAGAAGUUUGACUGCAGCCUCGAACUCCUUAUAACAAACAAUCCUGCUGCCUUAGCCUCCUGAGUAGCUAGGACUAUGGACACAUGCCACCAGAUCUGGGAUAUUUUAAAAUUUUUGCAGACAUAGGGUCUCGCCAUGUUGCCCAGGCUGAUUCUGAACUCCUGUUCUCAAGCAAUCCUCCUGCCUGGUCUUCCCAAACUGUUGGGCUUACAGGUGUGAGUCACUGAGCCCAGCUUGUAUUCUUUUGAUUUUAAAAAAAUAUUCUGAAUGUGAUCCACCAAAUUAAUUUCACCAUCCACUAAUAGGUAGCAACCUGAAUGAAAAAUACUGUUAUAAACUUUACACAAAACCAGAGAUUAUAAACAUUUGCCUCCAAGGAGAUGAGAGAGGCAAAAGGUACUUGUUUGCUCUGAUGGGCCCUGUUUCCUUCAGUGCCAGGAAGAGUGGCUCUCAGAUCUUUCUUCUGGCAUCCCUCAUGUAUGCAGUGUUGGUUAUUAUUUUCAAGGCCUUGGUAACAAAAUGCCCCUAGUGUGACCAGUCAGACUGACAGUCCAUAUCUGUAAUAUGGUGGUAAGUUUCCUUUGCAUGUCUUUCUUUCUUGCAUCUUAGACCUUUUACCUAGGAAAUUUUCUUUUUGCUUAAAGUACAUCAUUAAGAAUUUUCAAUGAAGGCAGAUUCUUAAAGUUUUUGUUUUCCAGAAGAGAUCUUGGAAAAUAUAAAAGGUUGGCAGUUAUUUCUUUUAGUACAUGAGAUAGUAUUACACCAAUGCUGUUGAGAAGUCUAUUGUGAGGCAAUGUGUCUUCUUUCUCUGGCUGCUUUUGAGAUUUCUCUCUGUCUUUUUUAGGGGCAGUUUUACUCUUAUGUGACUAGAAGUAGAUUUCUUCUUUUUUUUUUAAUACUGCUUGAGAUUUUAUUGGGUUUUUGAAUCUGUGGAUAUCCUUCAACAGUUCUGAAAGAUUUCCAGCCAUUCUCUUCAUAUAUUAUCUGUGCUGUAUUCUUUUCUCUCCUUUUAGAACUUCAAUUAGUAAAAACAUGUUUGAUGUCUUUUCCCACUAUUGUUUUUUGUUUCUCCCAUGCUGAAUUCUGUGUAAUUUCUUUUGAACUAUCUUGUAGUUUACAUUCUUUUUUUUUUUUUUUUGAGACAGGGUUUUGCUCUUGUUGCUCGGGCUGGAGUGCAAUGGCACCAUCUCAGCUCACUGCAACCUCUGCCUCCCGGGUUCAAGCGAUUCUCCUACCUCAGCCUCCCAAGUAGCUGGGAUUACAGGCAUGUGCCACCACGCCCGGCUAAUUUUUGUAUUCUGAGUAGAGACGGGGUUUCACCAUGUUGGCCAGGCUGGUCUAGAACUCCUGGGUGAUCUACCCUCCUCAGCCUCCCAAAGUGCUGGAUUACAGGUGUGAGCCACCGUGCCAGGCCUUACAUUCUCUCUCUUUAAGAGAGAAUGUAAGGUAUCUAAAUCUGCUGCUAAACCAUCAUUGUUUUUAAUUGUAAUAAGGUCUCUUUUAUGUACUCACAUUGAUAAGAGACAAGUAGUAAAUAAUCUUUAAAGGGCAAACUAAUUUAAAUGUGUUUUCCUGUCUGUUUACAGGACUUAGCAAAUGCACAUCUUAGAGUUCUGGGUUUCUAAUGUGUAUCUCCUCUAUGAAAUUCUUUAAAAAUAUCUGUUCUUGGUAUCCCUUAGGUUAGUCUCUUUUAGAACUUCUAAAUCAAUGGACCCUUAACUUAUAGGAGCCACCUGGACGUUAGCAACAUCUACAUUAAACAUGCUGAGCUUUUAAAAGAGGCCUGUUAGACAUGCUGAGUAUUUUGAGAUAAUAUCAUUGUUGUAUUGAAAGCUAUUGAAAACUUUAAUUUUAAAAUGCAAACGUUCUUAAAGUCCUGGUUGAUUUUAUAACUAUAAAAUUAGUUAUAAUUUUGAGAUUUCUGUCUUGUUUUUUUAUAGGGGCAGUUUUACUCUUAGGUAACUAGAUUUCUUCUUUUUUAUAAUCAUAAAAUUAGGUUUACUUUUGUUAGAAUAAAUUAAAGACAGUGAAUUUGUAAUUUGAAUAACUACUAAAAAUACACAUGAUGUAUUCUUAUUUGGGCCCUUGUGACGAAAAUACUAUUGUGGCUACAGAAACCUAUCCUAUAGUUUGAAGAACUGAGAUUACUGUCAGUAUUGAGAACAUUCCUCCUUCAUCAUUAGAAAGAUUAUAAAAAACCAGAUUCAAAGAAACUAUCAAUACUACUUAUGAAGUAUGUCUGUAAAAAAAAUUAAGCCUGAAUCUUAUCAGGCCUCUAGACCAGGGGUUCUCAAGGUAUGGGCUCCAGACCAGAAGUAUCAGCAACAAAUUGCUAAAAAUGCAGAGUCUUGGGUCAGAAAUUGGGGACCAGCAAUUGGAAUUUUACUAAGUAUACCAGAUGAUUCAGAUGCCUGCUCAAUUUUGAGGAUGACUCUUAUCAGUUUAGUUAUUAGGGUUUACAGGGGAUGGGGAACAUGUUAAAGAACACCAACUAGAUAAGGUCAAUCAGGCAAAAGUAAGAUGUCUGGACAUUCUGGGCCUCUUGAUGUCUUAGAAAGCACACAAUACCAUCUAUGAUGUGUUUUUGUCCACCAUCCCACCCAACUGCACCUGGAUCUUCCUAUUUAUAGGCAAUUAGAACAAGUUCAGUGUUACCCUGUAAUGAUUAAAACCCAAAUACAGGACUGCUAUAGCAUAAAUGACCACUUUCUUCAAUAAGUGGCACAUUAAAAAUAUAUUUAUAUAUAUAAUUGUUAUAGAUAAAAAAACAACAAAAUGGCUGGGCGUGGUGGCUCACACCUGUAAUCCCAGCACUUUGGGAGGCCAAGGCGGGCAGAUCACAAGGUCAGGAGAUUGAGACCAUCCUGGCCAACAUGGUGAAACCUCGUCUCUACUAAAAAUAGAAAAAUUAGCUGGCGUGCAUCUGUAGUCCCAGCUGCUGGGGAGGCUGAGGCAGGAGAAUCGCUUGAAUCUGGGAGGCGGAGGUUGCAGUGAGCCAUGAUCGGACCACUGCACUCCAGCCAGGGUGACAGAGCAACACUAUGUCUCAAACAAACAAAAACACGACAACAAAAUAAAGCUUAAGGAACAUCAACCAAAUGCAAUAUAUGAGCCCUAUUUAGGAUACUAUAAAAAGACAUUCACAAUAACACAGGCAAAAUGAACAUAAACUAGGUAUAGGUGACAGAGAAAUCCAAUAAACAUUGAAUUAUUCACUGGGGAAAGAAAUGAUGUGUGGGAUUUAAGUCUCUAACUCUCCCCUAUUUACGCCAAAAGAUUGUCCAUGAGUUGAAAACUUAGAGAUGGGUGACAACGCAAGAGAGAUUAUAGUGUCUUCCUUGUAUGCUUGUAAAUGUCAAAAAUAAAAGUAAUUUAAAACUAAAACAAACAUGAAACCAUAAUUCUUAAGAUGCAGCUUGAAUUCAGUUAACUAUAGCAGUUGUAUAUGAAGCAUUUCAAAGAAGUUAAUGACAUCACAGUAUUAAAUCCAUCUGACAUGGAAACCAACUCUAACUACAUCAUAGUUUUUUUUUGUUGUUGAUGUUUUUUGUUUGAGAUGGAGUCUCGCUCUGCCGUCAGGCUGGAGUACAGUGGCGUGACAGCUCACUGCAACCUCUGCCUCCUGGAUUUGAGCAAUUCUCCUGCCUCAAUCUCCUGAGUAGCUGGGACUAUAGGCGCAUGCCACCACGUCCAGCUAAUUUUUGUAUUUUUAGUAGAGACGAGAUUUCACCAUGUUGGCCAGGAUGGUCUCGGUAUCUUGAUCUUGUGAUCCGCCUGCCUCGGCCUCCCAAAGUGGUGGGAUUAUAGGCGUGAACCACCGGCACCUGGCCUAUGGCACAGUUUUAAAACUGCAUUUGCCUAGAAAGUGGACUGCUGUAUAUAGACCAAGUGUUGGGCUAUAUAUGACUGCAUUGUCUUAGGCUAUUUGGGGUUGGAGGAAGGAAGAGGCGUGAAGUAGAAAAGGAACAAGCUAAUAAAUGUUUUUUAAAAAGUAGAAUUUAAAACAAAACCACGUUCAGCUGAACACCAGAACGCAACACCAGGAUAAAAAUCCAAUUUUCAAAGAGCUAGAAGAUCAAGCUAAGCACUUACUGUAUUUUGCUGAACGUUAAAAUUAUAUAAAUGUACUACAGUUGCCUCAAGAUGUUAAAAAGUCAGCUUUUCAAAUCUAGUCACGGCCUACUCAUAUGACAGACCCAAUUCAAAUGAGCAAAAUUGAAAAGUUACACAUACAGACAACUUCUCAACCACCAGGCUGUUUAGUUUAAGUUAGAAGUCAGAAGUUCUGAGACUCUCCUUUUACCCACCUUGAGCAACCGCAGCAAGUUUUCCCUUUUCUUCAGGGCUGAGCUGCAACAUCGUAUUUAUAACAGGAAGAAGUCUCUCUCUUUCACUACCUGGUUUCAAGAAAAUGAACUGCAGCAAGACGUUCUUCAAGUAUUCCAGGAAGGAAUUCAGUUAACUACAGCAGCUGCAUGUGAAGCAUUUCAAAGGAGUUUAUGACAUCACCGUAUAAAAUCCAUUUGACAUGAAAACCGGAACUCCAACUAUGAGAUAGUUUCAAAGCUGCAUUUGCCUAGAAAGUGGAUUGCUGCGUAUGAACCAAGUGUUGGGCUAUAUAACUCCACUGUCCUAAGCUAUUUGGGGUUGGAAGGAAGAGGGGUGAAGUAGAAAGGCAAGAAGCUAAUACAAGAGGAGAAAAAGUAGAUGAGACACAUCAAGAAAUUCUCACGAGAAACAGAUGAAGAGGUGGAAAUGAGUCAGUCCAGCAGCUUACCAAGUAUCACUGACGAGGAGAGGAUGCAUCCUGUGUAAAUACUGGGGUUCUUGUCUCAGAAGCACAGGGUAUCAUGGAAAUGGAGUUGAAAGCUGGGGAACUGAUGGAACGUCUCCAUGAGGAGCAACUAACUGGAGCCAUGGGUUGGUACCAAGAUGUUCCCUCUGCCUUCUACUUUCGAUAGAAACUAAGCCAGUAUGGCAUGGGGCUCUGAAAAUGGGCUGAGGGGAACAUCGGCAGCCUCCACUAACCCCCUGCCCCUACCCUGUUCCUGAAGUCCCAGGCAGUUAAGACGUCCACAGUGAACGGCACUUAAUCAAAACAAAAGUUCAGACACAGUGAAAAUUCAGGAAUAUAAGAUAAUGUAAAACACUAUCAGAAAAAUGAGGCAAAGAAUGAUAUAAAAAAGGUAAUAGGAUGUUCAAGUCUUUGAGGAAGAUUUCCAGGUUGAAACCAAGCCAUAGCUUUUAGUAUAUUUUCAUUUUAGGUUAGGCAAGAAAGUUAGCGAACUUUGUCCUCAAACCUAGGACCAUUUAAAAAAGUGACAAUAAAGAAGACUAAGAAAUCAUGAAGAGAGUAUAAAUUUAUGAAAAUAUAACAUUUGGCCAGGCGUGGUGGCUCAUGCCUGUAAUCCCAACACUUUGGGAGGCUGAGGCAGGCAGAUCACGAGGUCAGGAGAUUGAGACCAUCCUGGCCAACAUGGUGAAACCAUGCCUCUAGUAAAAUAAAAAAAAUUAGCCGGGCAUGGUGGUGCGUGCCUGCAGUCCCAGCUACUCGGGAGGCUGAGGCAGGGGAAUCGCUUGAACCUGGGAGGCGGAGAUUGCAGUGAGCUGAGAUUGCACCACUGCACUCCAAACCUGGAGACAGAGCGAGACUCUAUCUCAAAAAAAAAAAAAAAAAAAAAAAAAAAAAAGAAAAUAUAACAUUUAAAUAAGUCAUUUAGGUUUACUGGGCUAGUUAGUGAUUUGUUAGCUACGAUAAUGUUUUUAUUAGUCAGAAAAUGUUAUUUUAUAGAGAUGCAUACUGAAGUAUUUAAUGGUGGAAUGUCAUGAUAUAUACAAUUUACUGAAAAUAACUGAAUUCAGCUUUAAAAUAAUCUGACAAGGAUAGCUAGUGGCCUUGCACAGUGGCAGGACAGAUCUAUUAGGAGCAGCAAAGUACAGGGGAAAAGCAUGUACUUUUCAGACAGCUAUGGGUUUAAAUUUUGUUCCACCAUUUACCAGCUUCAAUUUUUCUCUCAACCAGUGAUGAGAUUAAAUAACGUAUGUAGAGCCCAGGGCCUGGGUCAUAAGAACUCCUCAAUAAGCAGUAUGACUAUAUUCUGAGGGGUGAUUUAUCAGUGAGCCAGGGUGGAAAUACCUCAUUUGAGUAAUCCUCAACUGUUCUGCAACAUUCCUAGAUGUUUCUGGUGUCUACUUUAAACAGGAAAAACUUCCCAUGCCACUUUGCCAUCUCCACCUGAAAACUGUUUAGUAGUUCAGUACUAUAAAUAUCAGUUGAAUAAUUUAAAUUCACUGGUUAUCUUUAGAAUUCAACGACUCACACCCAUUUAAGUUUUAUUUAAGCAUAUGUGAACAAUGAUUUGUGAACAUCUCUCUAGUUUCUAAAUCUAUUACGGUUUCUUAGAAAAAGUAGGAAUUAAGAAAUAAUCUUUAUGUAAUAGGUGUAAAAGAAGUAUUUUGGCUGGAUGCAGUGGCUCAUGCCUGUAAUACCAGCACUUUGGGAGGCCAAGGCAGGCGGAUCACGAGGUCAGGAGAUCGAGACCAUCCUGGCUAACAUGGUAAACCCUGUCUCUACUAAAAUUACAAAGAAAUUAGCCAGGCAUGUUGGCGGGCACCUGUAGUCCCAGCUACUCGGGAGGCUGAGGCAGGAGAAUGGCGUGAACCUGGGAGGUGGAGCUUGCAGUGAGCUGAGAUCGUGCAUGUGUAUGGAGGGUCAAGAAAACCAAACUGGCGGUUUUCACGGCGGCCAGGUUUUCUGAUCUCACCUUAAUUUGCUCCAUAAGAAUUGCAUUGGUUGCUUCUGUUUCCCGAAGCAGGCCGUUUAAGUGAUCUGCACUUUUU
rnacentral:lncRNA from 1 species